GACGAACGCUGGCGGCGUGCUUAACACAUGCAAGUCGAACGGAAAGGCCCUGCUUGCAGGGUACUCGAGUGGCGAACGGGUGAGUAACACGUGGGUGAUCUGCCCUGCACUUCGGGAUAAGCCUGGGAAACUGGGUCUAAUACCGGAUAGGAGCCAUUUUUAGUGUGAUGGUUGGAAAGUUUUUUCGGUGUAGGAUGAGCUCGCGGCCUAUCAGCUUGUUGGUGGGGUAAUGGCCUACCAAGGCGGCGACGGGUAGCCGGCCUGAGAGGGUGGACGGCCACAUUGGGACUGAGAUACGGCCCAGACUCCUACGGGAGGCAGCAGUGGGGAAUAUUGCACAAUGGGCGCAAGCCCGAUGCAGCGACGCCGCGUGGGGGAUGACGGCCUUCGGGUUGUAAACUCCUUUCGCUAGGGACGAAGCUUUUUGUGACGGUACCUAGAUAAGAAGCACCGGCUAACUACGUG
rnacentral:rRNA from 1 species